rnacentral:tRNA from 1 species
CAAGACGUAGCUAUAAUACUAAAGCAUUCAGCUUACACCUGAAAGAUAUCUACCACACACUAGAUCGUCUUGA